GGGGGCAACCCUUGGAAUGUCACCUGCUUUGGGAGCAGGGGGCCGCGGGUUCAAAUCCCGCCAGCCCGACCG
rnacentral:tRNA from 1 species